UACGUAGGGGGCGAGCGUUGUCCGGAUUCAUUGGGCGUAAAGAGCUCGUAGGCGGUUCGGUAAGUCGGUGUGAAAUCUCCGUGCUCAACACGGAGCGGCCACCUGAUACUGCCGUGACUCGAGUCGGUAGGGAGUGUGGAAUUCCGGUGUAGCGGUGAAAUGCGCAGAUAUCGGAGAACACCAGAGCGAAGGCGGCACGUCUGGGCCGUGACUGACGCUG
rnacentral:rRNA from 1 species